rnacentral:rRNA from 1 species
AGUUAGUUGGUGAGGUAAGAGCUCACCAAGGCAAUGACAGGUAGCGGGUUUGAGAGGAUGAUCCGCCACACUGGUACUGAGACACGGACCAGACUCCUACGGGAGGCAGCAGUGAGGAAUAUUGCACAAUGGGGGAAACCCUGAUGCAGCAACGCCGCGUGGAGGAUGACGCAUUUCGGUGUGUAAACUCCUUUUAUAUGUCAAGAAAAUGACGGUAGCAUAUGAAUAAGCACCGGCUAACUCCGUGCCAGCAGCCGCGGUAAUACGGAGGGUGCAAGCGUUACUCGGAAUCACUGGGCGUAAAGGACGCGUAGGCGGAUUGGAAAGUCAGAUGUGAAGUCCUACAGCUUAACUGUAGAACUGCAUUUGAAACUUCUAAUCUAGAGUAUGGGAGGGGGAGAUGGAAUUAGUGGUGUAGGGGUAAGAUCCCGUAGAUAUCACUAGGAAUACCGAAAGCGAAAGCGAUCUCCUGGAACAUUACUGACGCUAAGGCGUGGAAGCGUNGGGAGCAAACAGGAUUAGAUACCCUGGUAGUCCACGCCCUAAACGAUGNACACUAGUCGUCGCUCUGCUAGUCAGGGCGGUGAUGCACUUAACAGAUUAAGUGUUCCGCCUGGGGAGUACGGUCGCAAGAUUAAAACUCAAAGGAAUAGACGGGGACCCGCACAAGUGGUGGAGCAUGUGGUUUAAUUCGAAGAUACGCGAAGAACCUUACCUAGCCUUGACAUUGAAAGAAUACCCUAGAGAUAGAGUAGUGCCCUUCGGGGAGCUUGAAAACAGGUGCUGCACGGCUGUCGUCAGCUCGUGUCGUGAGAUGUUGGGUUAAGUCCCGCAACGAGCGCAACCCUCGUCCUUAGUUGCUAGCAGUUCGGCUGAGCACUCUAAGGGGACUGCCUUCGUAAGGAGGAGGAAGGUGAGGACGACGUCAAGUCAUCAUGGCCCUUAUGGCUAGGGCUACACACGUGCUACAAUGGGGCGUACAGAGUGUUGCGAUACCGCGAGGUGGAGCUAAUCACUUAAAGCGUCUCUCAGUUCGGAUUGGAGUCUGCAACUCGACUCCAUGAAGCUGGAAUCACUAGUAAUCGUAGAUCAGCAAUGCUACGGUGAAUACGUUCCCGGGUCUUGUACUCACCGCCCGUCA